rnacentral:tRNA from 1 species
GUAUUUGGAUAUGGCGGAAAUGGCAGACGCACUAGAUUUCGGUUCUAGCGAACAGUUGACAUUCUGUAAAAUGUCUCUUUAGUUGCACAGGUUCGAUUCCUGUCAAAGCCACCA